AUGCCCCAAGCAACAAGGCAAAGAGUCAUGAAGAGGCUACUGGGCACUCUGUUGGGACUUCUGAGUGCACAAGUUUGCUGUGUGAGAGGGAUAGAAGUGGAGCAGAGUCCUCCAGUCCUGAGUCUCCACGAGGGAGCCAGUUCCAUGCUGUGGUGCAAUUUUUCUGCUGCUCUGAGAACUUUGCAGUGGUUUCGCCAAAAUCCAGGGGGACGCCUCAUCAACCUGUUUUACAUUCCAUCAGGGACAAAGCAGAUUGGAAGAUUAACUGCCACAACAGUCACUAAAGAACGCCGCAGCUCAUUGUACAUUUCCUCUUCCCAGACCACAGACUCAGCCAUUUAUUUCUGUGCUGUGGAAGGUACCUCAGGGAGCUACAAAUACAUCUUUGGAGCAGGCACCAGGCUGAAUGUUUUACCAAAUGUUCCAGAGCUGGCCUCAGUCAGAAGUGCCUGGUUCCAGCGCCCUCAAAGUGUGGAUCAACAUGCUGCCCCCACCUGCCAUGUGGAUGGUGACAGCUUCCCUCAGCCCCGCCCACGGUGGCAACAGUCUCUCUGACUGCUUUUGCUUUGGUGCCAUAGACAUAAGCUGUUCCUACUUUGUCCAAAUGAGGUAUGUGAUUUUCAGAACCCUGGAGAAUUAUUAUCUAAAAUACCAGAGGAUAUGCUAGGAUUUUGGCCAUCAGUAUCCUGGGCCUGUGCAGGAAAACUCUUUCUUUAGAACAUUUAGAAAAAAUAUUCUUUAUUUAGUCAAUGUGGAAAUAGUCCUGAAAUCCAAACUGGUGCUAGGAUUCUGUGCCAGGUUAUUACUGUGACAAUUACUUAAUAUUCUCUGUGCUCACGAUAUCGCUCCUUCCAGAAGAUCUUUAGGGAAAACUUAGUUCAGUUUCUAGGAGGUUUUUGCUGAGCUGAAGAUCACUGUGUGAAUAAUAAUGCAGGCCGCAUGCUCACAUUUGGAGGGGGAACAAGGUUAAUGGUCAAACCCCGUGAGUAUCUCUACUGAAUCCAUA